CCUACGGGCGGCAGCAGUAGGGAAUUUUCGGCAAUGGGGGGAACCCUGACCGAGCAACGCCGCGUGAACGAAGAAGUUAUUCGUAAUGUAAAGUUCUUUUAACAGGGAAGAAAGAGACAUUUGCCGGUACCUGCAGAAUAAGCUCCGGCUAACUACGUGCCAGCAGCCGCGGUAUUACGUAGGGAGCGAGCGUUAUCCGGAAUUAUUGGGCGUAACGGGUGCGUAGAUGGCAUAGUAAGUCUUUUGUAAAAAUGCUGGGCUCAACCCAGUAGGGCAAAAGAUACUGCAAAGCUAGAGUAUGACAGAGGCAAGUGGAACUACAUGUGUAGCGGUAAAAUGCGUAGAUAUAUGGAAGAACACCAGUGGCGAAGGCGGCUUGCUGGGUCGAUACUGACAUUGAGGCACGAAAGCGUGGGGAGCAAACAGGAUUAGAUACCCCGGUAGUC
rnacentral:rRNA from 1 species